rnacentral:rRNA from 1 species
CAAUAGCGUAUAUUAAAGUUGUUGCGGUUAAAAAGCUCGUAGUUGGAUUUCUGCCGAGAACGACCGGUCCGCCCCCAGGGUGAGCAUCUGGUUCGGCCUUGGCAUCCUCUUGGGGAACGCAUGUGCACUUGACUGUGUGCUGCGGUACCCAGGACUUUUACUUUGAGGAAAUUAGAGUGUUUCAAGCAGGCCUUUGCCUUGAAUACAUUAGCAUGGAAUAAUAAGAUAGGACUUCGGUUCAAUUUUGUUGGUUUCUUGAGCUGAAGUAAUGAUUAAUAGGGAUAGUUGGGGGCAUUCGUAUUUAACUGUCAGAGGUGAAAUUCUUGGAUUUGUUAAAGACGAACUACUGCGAAAGCAUUUGCCAAGGAUGUUUUCAUUGAUCAAGAACGAAAGUUAGGGGAUCGAAGAUGAUUAGAUACCGU